GAUGAACGCUAGCGGGAGGCCUAACACAUGCAAGCCGAGCGGUAGAGUCUCUUCGGAGACUUGAGAGCGGCGCACGGGUGCGGAACACGUGUGCAACCUGCCUUUAUCUGGGGGAUAGCCUUUCGAAAGGAAGAUUAAUACCCCAUAAUAUACUGGAUGGCAUCAUCUGGUAUUGAAAACUCCGGUGGAUAGAGAUGGGCACGCGCAAGAUUAGAUAGUUGGUGAGGUAACGGCUCACCAAGUCAGCGAUCUUUAGGGGGCCUGAGAGGGUGAUCCCCCACACUGGUACUGAGACACGGACCAGACUCCUACGGGAGGCAGCAGUGAGGAAUAUUGGACAAUGGGUGAGAGCCUGAUCCAGCCAUCCCGCGUGAAGGACGACGGCCCUAUGGGUUGUAAACUUCUUUUGUAUAGGGAUAAACCUAGAUACGUGUAUCUAGCUAAAGGUACUAUACGAAUAAGCACCGGCUAACUCCGUG
rnacentral:rRNA from 1 species